GGGUGAUUAGCUCAGCUGGGAGAGCGCCUCCCUUACAAGGAGGGGGUCGGCGGUUCGAUCCCGUCAUCACCCACCA
rnacentral:tRNA from 12 species